GAUGAACGCUGGCGGCGUGCUUAACACAUGCCAGUCGAACGGAAAGGCCCAAGCUUGCUUGGGUACUCGAGUGGCGAACGGGUGAGUAACACGUGGGUGAUCUGCCCUGCACUUCGGGAUAAGCCUGGGAAACUGGGUCUAAUACCGGAUAGGACCACUUCUUGGAUGUUGUGGUGGAAAGUUUUUUCGGUGUGGGAUGAGCUCGCGGCCUAUCAGCUUGUUGGUGGGGUAAUGGCCUACCAAGGCGUCGACGGGUAGCCGGCCUGAGAGGGUGUACGGCCACAGUGGGACUGAGAUACGGCCCAGACUCCUACGGGAGGCAGCAGGGGGGAAUAUUGCACAAUGGGCGCAAGCCUGAUGCAGCGACGCCGCGUGGGGGAUGACGGCCUUCGGGUUGUAAACUCCUUUCGCUAGGGACGAAGCGUUUUGUGACGGUACCUGGAGAAGAAGCACCGGCUAACUACGUG
rnacentral:rRNA from 1 species